rnacentral:rRNA from 1 species
AUCAAGUGUCUUAAGGGCAAUUGGUGGAUGCCUUGGCAUGCACAGGCGAUGAAGGACGUGAUACGCUGCGAUAAGCUACGGGGAGGUGCGAAUACCCUUUGAUCCGUAGAUUUCCGAAUGGGGAAACCCACCUAAGGUACUUGGAAAAUCAGAGCAGCAGGGUGACUUGCUGCUGUGGUUUCCAAGUAUCGAUAAUAGGUAACUUACCCUGAAUACAUAGGGGUAAAGUGGCGAACGCGGGGAACUGAAACAUCUAAGUACCCGUAGGAAAGGACAUCAACCGAGACUCCGGAAGUAGUGGCGAGCGAACCCGGACCAGGCCAGUGGCGAUGAUGAGACAAGCGGAACCUUCUGGAAAGUAGGGCCAUAGUGGGUGACAGCCCCGUACGCGUAAUGCAAAUCAUCGUCCUCGAGUAAGGCGGGACACGUGAAAUCCUGUCUGAAAUUGGGGGGACCACCCUCCAAGCCUAAGUACUCGUGCAUGACCGAUAGCGAACUAGUACCGUGAGGGAAAGGUGAAAAGCACCCCGACAAGGGGAGUGAAAGAGUACCUGAAACCGGUUGCCUACAAACAGUGGAAGCCCAAGGUUCGUCCUGGGUGACCACGUACCUUUUGUAUAAUGGGUCAGCGACUUAGUGUGACGAGCAAGCUUAAACCGCUAGGUGUAGGCGCAGCGAAAGCGAGUCUGAAUAGGGCGUUCAGUUCGUCGCAUUAGACCCGAAACCGAGUGAUCUAGCCAUGAGCAGGUUGAAGGUAAGGUAACACUUACUGGAGGACCGAACCCAUAACUGUUGCAAUAGUUCGGGAUGACUUGUGGCUAGGGGUGAAAGGCCAAUCAAACUCGGAAAUAGCUGGUUCUCCGCGAAAUCUAUUUAGGUAGAGCGUCGACCGAAUACCCCAGGGGGUAGAGCACUGGAUGGGCUAGGGGUCCUCACCGGAUUACCAAACCUAACCAAACUCCGAAUACCUGGGAGUACUAGUCGGCAGACACACGGCGGGUGCUAACGUCCGUCGUGAAAAGGGAAACAACCCUGACCUACAGCUAAGGUCCCCAAGUUAUGGCUAAGUGGGAAAGGAUGUGAGGAUCCCAAAACAACCAGGAUGUUGGCUUAGAAGCAGCCAUCAUUUAAAGAAAGCGUAACAGCUCACUGGUCUAAAUAAGGGUCUUUGCGCCGAAAAUGUAACGGGGCUAAAGCCAUACACCGAAGCUUAGGGUUUGGUCCGCAAGGGCCAAGCGGUAGCGGAGCGUUCUGUAAGCUGAUGAAGCCAUACCCGUGAGGGGUGGUGGAGGUAUCAGAAGUGCGAAUGCUGACAUGAGUAACGUAAGGGGAGUGAGAGACUCCCCCGCCGAAAGACCAAGGGUUCCUGCUUAAAGCUAAUCUGAGCAGGGUUAGCCGGCCCCUAAGACGAGGCGGAAACGCGUAGUCGAUGGGAACCACGUUAAUAUUCGUGGGCUUGGAGGUAGUGACGGAUCAUUGAGGUAGUCCAAUCUUAUCGGAUUGAACGGGCUGCUGCGUGGUUCCAGGAAAUAGCUCCUCCUUAUAAACCGUACCCGAAACCGACACUGGUGGUCUGGUAGAGUAUACCAAGGCGCUUGAGAGAACUAUGCUGAAGGAACUCGGCAAAUUGCACGCGUAACUUCGGAAGAAGCGUGACCCUUUUCUACGCAAGUAGAGGAGGGUGGCACAGACCAGGGGGUAGCGACUGUUUAUCAAAAACACAGGGCUCUGCGAAGUCGCAAGACGACGUAUAGGGUCUGACGCCUGCCCGGUGCUGGAAGGUUAAGAGGAGGGGUGCAAGCUCUGAAUCGAAGCCCCAGUAAACGGCGGCCGUAACUAUAACGGUCCUAAGGUAGCGAAAUUCCUUGUCGGGUAAGUUCCGACCUGCACGAAUGGCGUAACGACUUCCCCGCUGUCUCCAGCAUAGACUCAGUGAAAUUGAAUUCCCCGUGAAGAUGCGGGGUUCCUGCGGUUAGACGGAAAGACCCCGUGCACCUUUACUAUAGCUUUACAUUGGCAUUCGUAGUGGCAUGUGUAGGAUAGGUGGUAGGCUUUGAAACCUGGGCGCCAGCUCAGGUGGAGCCACCCUUGAAAUACCACCCUUAUUACUAUGGAUGUCUAACCGCGGCCCGUUAUCCGGGUCCGGGACAAUGUAUGGUGGGUAGUUUGACUGGGGCGGUCGCCUCCUAAAGAGUAACGGAGGCGCGCGAUGGUGGGCUCAGAACGGUCGGAAAUCGUUCGCUGAGUGCAAUGGCAUAAGCCUGCCUGACUGCGAGACUGACAAGUCGAGCAGAGACGAAAGUCGGUCAUAGUGAUCCGGUGGUCCCGCGUGGAAGGGCCAUCGCUCAACGGAUAAAAGGUACGCCGGGGAUAACAGGCUGAUGACCCCCAAGAGUCCAUAUCGACGGGGUUGUUUGGCACCUCGAUGUCGACUCAUCGCAUCCUGGGGCUGGAGCAGGUCCCAAGGGUAUGGCUGUUCGCCAUUUAAAGCGGUACGUGAGUUGGGUUCAGAACGUCGUGAGACAGUUCGGUCCCUAUCUGCCGUGGGUGUAGGAAUAUUGAAAGGAUCUGUCCCUAGUACGAGAGGACCGGGAUGGACGGAUCUCUGGUGGACCUGUUGUGGCGCCAGCCGCAUAGCAGGGUAGCUAUAUCCGGACGGGAUAACCGCUGAAGGCAUCUAAGCGGGAAACCCACCUUAAAACGAGUAUUCCCUGAGAACCGUGGAAGACGACCACGUUGAUAGGCCGGGUGUGGAAGAGCGGCAACGCUUGAAGCUUACCGGUACUAAUAGUUCGAUCGGCUUGAUCGUU